AAAUAGAACUUUGCAGAGAGAGUUAACAGGGCGUGAAACCGUUAAUUGGCAAACGAAUCGGAGCCACGAAGUCGUUUCGCUGAUAGUUGGGUCGGGUUCAGCUUGGAAAUACCAAUUUUCAGGUGUAUUCUCGUGCUCGACCAUCUUUGUAAGCGUACACUGCAACCAGUUAGACGAUUGGCGAUGGGCACAGUCAGGGUCAGUAGUAGUUCGGUCUCUCUUCGGGGUUAUCGAGCUGCUGGGCUCUGGUAAGUGAACUAUCACCAAAUACUGACUGGCACAUUGAAAAUCGCGUUAUGCGUUUCACAAAAUGCGGUUCGCCGUAUGGGUGCCUACGUGCUUGACCAUGGGGUUUUAAGCUCAGCAUCUUUGAAUUUGGGCUUGCUUGCUACCAGUGGGGCAACUCCUGGUGCUUGUAUAGAUUCAUCUAAUCGGGUGUUGACUUGAUUCUAUGUUGCUUGAGUACGAAACGAUUGGGUGCUCAUAUGAGUGGAUUCGCCAUUUGAUUGGCAGUGAGUAGGUCGGCUUUCCGAACGACCCGUCUUGAAACACGGACCAAGGAGUCUAAUUAGGCAUCGAGUCGAUCGGUCUUGUUUAGGCCAGACUGGUGAGCUUUCACCGAUUGAAGGCGAAGAGACAUGUGAUCACGAGACAAACCAGUCUCAGUGCGCAACAUGUGCCUGUUCGUAUAACAAUGUACUUAGUACUUGGGCGGAGCAAAGAGAUGCUUGAUUGGUACCCGAAAGAUGGUGAUGCUUGGGCAAAUUGAAGCCAGAGGAAACUCUGGUGGAGGAUUUAGCUGACGUGCAAAUCGAUCGUCAGACCUGAGUAUAGGGGCGAAAGACUAAUCGAACCAUC
rnacentral:rRNA from 1 species